CGCCGGGUCCCGUGCAAGGGAUGACGGCCCAACCCCGCCAGGACCGGAAGGUAGCAACGGUAAGCAGUUCAUCACUGUGUUGCGGAUCAGCCUGGCGAUA
rnacentral:SRP_RNA from 1 species